GAUGAACGCUGGCGGCGUGCCUAAUACAUGCAAGUCGAGCGAACAGAUGAGGAGCUUGCUCCUCUGACGUUAGCGGCGGACGGGUGAGUAACACGUGGAUAACCUACCUAUAAUACUGGGAUAACUUCGGGAAACCGGAGCUACUACCGGAUAAUAUAUUGAACCGCAGGGUUCAAUAGUGAAAGACGGUUUUGCUGUCACUAAUAGAUGGUUCCGCGCCGCAUUAGCUAGUUGGUAAGGUAACGGCUUACCAAGGCAACGAUGCGUAGCCGACCUGAGAGGGUGAUCAGCCACACUGGAACUGAGACACGGUCCAGACUCCUACGGGAGGCAGCAGUAGGGAAUCUUCGGCAAUGGGCGCAAGCCUGACGGAGCAACGCCGCGUGAGUGAUGAAGGUCUUCGGAUCGUAAAACUCUGUUAUUAGGGAAGAACAAAUGUGUAAGUAACUAUGCACGUCUUGACGGUACCUAAUCAGAAAGCAACGGCUAACUACGUG
rnacentral:rRNA from 1 species